AGUCCCCCCGCCCAGAAGUGGGGAAGUCACGCGCCUGUAGCUGGAGGCUGUUGUGAAAUGGGGAAUUUGGGGGUGGGGGAGUUUGCGGGAUACAAGGGUCCGGGGGCCGAUUCUGGGAAGUCAUGGAAUUCUGGGGGUCUCUCUGUGUGCCAGAUCCCGGCUAGUGUCUGGGAGGCAGAGCUGGCUCAAAGCAGGACGCUACCCUUCACGGAACUCCCCGUUGUUACGGGGGGAAAAGAGAUACAAAGGCUCAAGCCUGGUCCUCUCCCUUGGACCCUCUUGUCCCGGACUUCUCAGCCUUCUGACUUCCAGCAGUUUCACCACAGGACUCCAGAGCCUUCUACUCCCCCAGGACUCCCAGUGUCUGCUCCCCCAUUCACCUAAGAUGGUGAGCGACGCCGUGAGCACUCCGGCCACAAAGAUGGUCACAGUCUGCCACGUGGGUGUCCCAAAGUAGGAGAGAAGGCCAUCCUGGGGACAGGAACAGUUACUUCAGCAACUUGACCAAGGGGCAGCCCCUAGGCUGGCAC